rnacentral:misc_RNA from 1 species
CCCCUUUUGCCCCUUCGGAAUCGGAACCUGGUCCCGGGCGCACCAGCUCAGCUCGGCCGCAGCUGGAAUUCCCAUUCUGCCCUGCCCCUCCCCCGCGGCCGCCUAUAAAUAACCCCACACCGCGAGGCCUCUGAUAAAAUCUCCUACCACUUAGCACUACACUACCACCGUUUCAGUGCUAUAGGAUAGGAUUUUCUUUUGACGGCCAUGAAACCCCCUCAGCUGCCGGCCGGGGAGCGCUCCUGGGCUCACGAGGUCAAGCAGGCCCUCCGUGAGAAACUCCGGCGCUCCUACGGCGCCGCCUCCGCCACACCGGCGGCCGGUGAACCGAGCCGUGGCGCCGACUGCCGCGGCUCGGCCGCCGAGGACCCCAUAAGGAGAGUCAUGUUCUUGGCUCCCUGGGGCCACACAUAAAACACAGACCCAGAUCUGGGCUUGCAAGAGCAUGGCCGGAUCUGCAGAGAACUGCUCAAGCUCAACCAUACUUAAAAGGAACUGGAGCUUGUCUUGUAAACUAUGGAGCAUGCUGCUUGCACCACGAACAUGAACGCAUGGCUGGUUAACUAGGUAGAUAUGGGUGUGGAUGGGAGAGAGAGAGAAAAAACAAGGUAUGUAGUCCACGUCUCUGAUCUUGGAUGGAGAGGCAUGAGAUCUUGGGAUGCUCAUGCAUGGGUCAUGGGUGUGGCUGAGAUCUGGAACUUUUGUAGCCAUCAACUUGUUUCCCAGAAACCAUGUAAUAAGGGUGACCUGUGUAUAGCUAUGAGACAUCAACAUAUCUUGCUGCUUUGUGUGUCCACCUUUGCUUCCAUCUCAGCUGGUUUGGUUCAGAAUGCCUUCUUGUCUGAAACUAUUGAAACUACCCCUUCUUUCACUGCCUCCUUGUCUGAAACUACCCCUCUCCGGCCUCUUUUUUAUGUCAAGGUGAUUCCAUUGGAUGCGAGGAAAGAAC